CAUCAUCUGCGGAAUUACAUAUUAUUAAAACGACGUUAAAAACGUGAAUUUUUCACCUACAGUAUCUCGCAUCUAUACUAAGUAUAUCGUAUACCUCUACCUAUAUACAUACAUAGUAGAUAGAUCUACAUACCUAUACCUAUACCUAUCCUCUAUACCUAAUACCCAUGUGUCUUACUCUUGCGACGCCGAUUAAGGCAAAUGUACGUAAACAUACAUGUAUCUCUCGACUCUACCUACACGCUGAUUUUUAAGCGGCGGUGCAUUUUUCUAGCAAUUUUUUGCUACAUAUUCGGAUUCGGAUUCGGCUGAUUCUCGUAUUUCCAUAAUGAGACCUGUCCCUAUCCGGUUAAAUUAAAUUUGCUCAUUUGCAUCGAAGACGGGUUUAAUUUUUAUGACCGGAUGGGUUUUUUUUACGGAUCGAGGAAGUGAUAAAAAGUGGCGAGUGGUCGCGAAAUUGAGUAAUUUGCCGUUUGCUUAUAGUUAGACCAUCUCGAACAACGUACGCGUACCUACCUACGUUAAAUUGAUUUACGAUUGCGAAUUUUCGCUUACAAAUUUUGUCAACUUGACAUCGGCGUUGAAAAAAUUUGCUAAUUUGCUAAUUCUGCUUCUUUACGAGAUCUUAGGUGCGGGUUUCGAUUACUUAUGCUAUGCUAAAGAGAUACCUAGAUUAUUAUUUUGAAGAUUGGAAAAAAAAACACGACAUGACACCACGUGAGAGAAGGAAAAGUCAUAAUCCACUCGAGAAUACGAGUACAUAUUUUAAAACCGUGGAGUAUUGAUCCGUUAUAGGCCUCAGUCUAGACACCAUCGCUUAUUAUUUCUUAUACAUACUUAUCGAUAUUAUGAUUAGGUACAUAUUUUCAUCCUCGCUUUGAAACGACAACGAGCUUCGUAUUUUUUUUAUUUAUUAUUCCGUUAGAUGAUCGUUGGAAACGCGGCGAUAGUUUCAUUUGUAAAAGUGUAGUAGAUUUUCUUCUUGUUUGCAAUUUUUCGUGUGACAACUUUUUUUUUCAGAGCCAUGAAAUGGGCAUUGCGAUGAAAAAAAAGUUGGUCUAGAAAACCGAUUUGGUACCAAGUAUGUUAUUUCUCUCUGAAAAAUGUGGAAUUUAGUUUCACGUGUAUCGAUUUGAAAUUUGCAAGAAUAAAAUAAUCGUGAAAUCGGAAAACGAUGUAAAUUUUGCACCGGUUGCAUUUAUUGAAUUCGACUCUCUCGAUUAUUUCAAUAAUGAUCAUCUUGUUCCAGUUAAUCGGGUUCGAACAGAAUGCGGUCUGUGGUAGACCGUUUUCUGCAGUGAAUACCUACCACAGGUUGUUGGAUCGCUUUUCUGCUCUAAUUAUUCGAUAUCGGAUUAGAUUACGGUUUGUGGCAUUUGAUGAAGAAAACUUGUAUUUCGUUUCGUCGUUUUCAGUUCUGCAUCUGAUCGUCGAAAAAAAAAAUAACAGCGGAGGGAAAUGGUUUUUACAUGGAUACGUACGCGUUGAAAAAUCCAGUCCGCGGAUAAGAUGGCGGCAGCCGACAUCGACAACGGCAACGGCAACGGCAACCGACGACGCGACGACGUGCAGAUUGAAAAUCGUGAUCAAAUCACCGUGCUAAAAAUGGUUGAUGCGAUGGAAGAACUACACAGUACACUGGAGUCUUCAAUACCAACAUUUUCUUGUUGUUUUACGAGUAAAAUCCAUUUUAUGCGCCUGCUGUAAAUUGGAACUUGCGAGGAACAGAAUGAGAAGACGCGACGGAGAAAAAAGAAUAGAAUAAAAGAUGGAAUAUCAAUACUUACGGUACCUACUCGUAUUAUAAAUAAUGUGACUGAAAAGUAUUUUUUUUUUGUGGUUUUAUUUCUCUUAUGUGUAUUGUUUAUCCAAUUAUCCUUGAUGUAUGUAUUGUUUUUAUCAACUGUUUCUUUCAAUUAUUGUAUUUGUAUUAUUGUUUUUCAUGAUAUUUGCACAGGUCAAGUUGUAAAUUGUCUAUUUUUUGAAGCGCGUUCAUUUUGUAACAUGUUCGAUUCGGUAACAAAUUCGCUUUGAUAACGCAUAUUGUAAUAUUUUUUGUUCAUUUUUCGUUAAUUAGGCGGAAUUGGCCGCCGCUGGAUUUUAAGAAAAAGAAAAAAAUGAAAAAAAAAAACACAAAUAGAUAAUGUGAAACAUUGAAUAUUUUUAUAUUUUUUAAAUUAAAAUUUCAUUUAAUCUUAAUAAAAACAAUUAGGUAUAAUUUUUUUCAUCCUAUUCUAAAACGGAUACUCAAUUUGGAAUCUACGAUCUACAGUAUAAAAUAAUAUUGUAAUAAAUGAUAUA